rnacentral:rRNA from 1 species
CGCCCUCCCUCCGCCGCCACUCCACGACCUCCGUACCGGGACGGCAGACACGUAACGGAAGUAGUUGGUCAAGUAGGGAGGACGUAACGUCUACGAAACCACGGACCAGUGCGCGUGCAGGAGACGGACCCGUACGGGUUGGUAACGUGUCGUUUAGGUACGUUCGGGUAAGUUAAACCGUUGAUUACGGUGGUAGUCAAGCUGAAUGUACAGUAAGAAUAAGGAUCGGCUAACUCCGUGCCAGCAGCCGCGGUAAUAC